rnacentral:rRNA from 1 species
AACGAACGCUGGCGGCAUGCCUAACACAUGCAAGUCGAACGAGACCUUCGGGUCUAGUGGCGCACGGGUGCGUAACGCGUGGGAACCUGCCCUUAGGUUCGGAAUAACUCCCCGAAAGGGGUGCUAAUACCGGAUAAUGUCUUCGGACCAAAGAUUUAUCGCCUUUGGAUGGGCCCGCGUUGGAUUAGCUAGUUGGUAGGGUAAAAGCCUACCAAGGCGACGAUCCAUAGCUGGUCUGAGAGGAUGAUCAGCCACACUGGGACUGAGACACGGCCCAGACUCCUACGGGGGGCAGCAGUGGGGAGUAUUGGACAAUGAGCGAAAGCCUAAUCCAGCAGUGCCGCGUGAGUGAUGAAGGCCUUAGGGUUGUAAAGCUCUUUUACCCGGGAUGAUAAUGACAGUACCGGGAGAAUAAGCUCCGGCUAACUCCGUG